rnacentral:rRNA from 1 species
AUUGAACGCUGGCGGCAUGCCUUACACAUGCAAGUCGAACGGUAACAGGUUAAGCUGACGAGUGGCGAACGGGUGAGUAAUAUAUCGGAACGUGCCCAGUCGUGGGGGAUAACUGCUCGAAAGAGCAGCUAAUACCGCAUACGACCUGAGGGUGAAAGCGGGGGAUCGCAAGACCUCGCGCGACUGGAGCGGCCGAUAUCCGAUUAGGUAGUUGGUGGGGUAAGAGCCCACCAAGCCGACGAUCUGUAGCUGGUCUGAGAGGACGACCAGCCCGACUGGGACUGAGACACGGCCCAGACUCCUACGGGAGGCAGCAGUGGGGAAUUUUGGACAAUGGGCGCAAGCCGGAUCCAGCCAUGCCGGGUGCGGGAAGAAGGCCUGCGGGUUGUAAACCGCUUUUGUCAGGGAAGAAAAGGUUCUGGUUAAUACCUGGGACUCAUGACGGUACCUGAAGAAUAAGCACCGGCUAACUACGUGCCAGCAGCCGCCGUAA